rnacentral:rRNA from 1 species
CAGUCGCCGCGGGAAUACGAAGGGGGCUAGCGUUGCUCGGAAUGACUGGGCGUAAAGGGCGCGUAGGCGGCUUGUACAGUCAGAUGUGAAAUUCCUGGGCUCAACCUGGGGACUGCAUUUGAUACGUACGGGCUUGAGUGGAGAAGAGGGUUGUGGAAUUUCCAGUGUAGAGGUGAAAUUCGUAGAUAUUGGAAAGAACACCGGUGGCGAAGGCGGCAACCUGGUCUUUAACUGACGCUGAGGCGCGAAAGCGUGGGGAGCAAACAGGAUUAGAUACCCCAGUAGUCCUGUCUCUUAUACA